rnacentral:rRNA from 1 species
GACGAACGCUGGCGGCGUGCUUCACACAUGCAAGUCGAACGGUGAAGCCCCUUCGGGGGCGGAUCAGUGGCGAACGGGUGAGUAACACGUGGGCAACCUGCCCCUCGACUCUGGGAUAACCCCGGGAAACCCGGAGCUAAUACCGGAUACGACCUCUGACCGCAUGGUCGUGGAGGGUAGGUAAAGUUUUUCGGUUCGAGGGAGUGGGCCCGGCCGGCCUA